AAUUUAGUUUACCUGACCUGCUCUCUGAAGAUGUGUAAAGAGAACCUAUAUUGUCCCUUAGCUUAGGUGCCUUUAUUAGGUGACAGGAGUUAAAAUAACAAAAUCUAGGUAUGUCUCUUGAAAGUGUUAUGGCAUCAUUUAAAAAGGCAUGUUCUGUACUUGGGUUCUCAAGAUAAAGCAACCUGGUUUGCAAGCAUACCCAGUGCUCUAAGAAUCGCAGAGUUGGGUGAAGUUUCCACCCUGUGGAGCUUCCACUUGGAAAAAUCCUGUACAUACAGGCAGAACAGCCCCUGAUCCUGGCUGAAAAAUCCUGGC